AAAAAAAACGUGAAAUGCGGGACCGUGAUCAACUGAGAACAAGAAUAAUUCAUCGAGGACAGAGAGGCGGAAACACCACCAGCCACCAAGCUUCAACAAUGACGACGCGCUCACAGGCUCCAUGAAACUAGAAAUUACUACCAGGCAUGGACGAAAAAUACUAUUAUAUGAUGGCAUAUCUUGAAUGUAUAUAUAUUUUCCAUAGUGACUCUUUACGCUAUAUAUCUGCAUCACUUUUGAUGUAUGUCAACACAAACCUUACUUUGAUUAUAUUCCAUUGUACAAUUGUAGUGCCUGACGAAGGCUGAAUUGUCCGCUGAAAA